rnacentral:rRNA from 1 species
UACGAAGGGGGCUAGCGUUGCUCGGAAUCACUGGGCGUAAAGCGCACGUAGGCGGACUCUUAAGUCGGGGGUGAAAUCCUGGAGCUCAACUCCAGAAUUGCCUUCGAUACUGGAGAGCUUGAGUCCGGGAGAGGUGAGUGGAACUGCGAGUGUAGAGGUGAAAUUCGUAGAUAUUCGCAAGAACACCAGUGGCGAAGGCGGCUCACUGGCCCGGUACUGACGCUGAGGUGCGAAAGCGUGGGGAGCAAACAGGG